ACGGUUAUAAAUCAACAUAUUGAUUUAUAAGCAUUGAAAUCCCCUGAGUGAAACAACGAAUUGCUGUGUGUAGUCUUUGCCCAUCUCCCACGAUGGGCUUUUUUUUAA
rnacentral:other from 1 species